CAACAUAUGUUUUAAUUUUGUGUUAAAAUCCUAUAAUACAUAUUUGAUCUUUUACUUACAGGUUUUUGAUAGCAAUGGUUCAUUCCUGACUUUCGUCAAUACAUCAGCGGAUCCUUUGUAUGGCCCCCAGGGACUGACAGUAACACCAGAGGGGCUUGUUGUGGUUGGUGACUCUGGUAACCAUUGUUACAAGGUGUACAAAUAUCUUCAGUAGUUACUUUUAACACAGACAUGUGACAAACAACAAGUAAACCACCUUUCCAGAAUCAAAAGGACUAUGGGUUAUUUCGUUGUACAUACACCAAAUGAAAAGGAAAACAUGUCAUUGGUUGAAUUUUUAAUUAUUUCGAACAUUUUUAACCAAUCACAAUGUUCCAGUGUAAGCUUUUGAAAAUAUUACCCAUAGAAUAAAAUUCUAAAAAGGUGAUCUCUGAAAUCAGUGUAAUAAGUUUUCAGACAUUUGAAUCCUUAUCAGCUGAAAUCUCACUGGAAAGACAGGCGAUCUUUCUUUUACAGAUAUUUUUGUUAAGUGAAUGUAUUAGAGUUAACAAAAAUCGCUUGAACUAUAAGACACUUUAGGCAUUGUACUAAGAAUUGGCUGCAAUCAUUCUAUGCUGAAAAGCAUAGAAUGAUUUGUUGGUCUUUCUCGCUACAUUGAAGACCCAUUGGUGGCCUUUGGCUGUUGUCUGCUCUAUGGUCGGGUAGUUGUCGCUUUGACACAUUCCCCAUUUCCUUUCUGAAUUUUAGGUAUUUCAAACAGACUAAUUUAAAGUUUAUUUUUGAAAAAAUAAAGUAAAAGAAUAAUCAUUUCAAAAAAUGAAAAUGUAAGCACAUAUUAUAUGUAUUGUGUCAGUACCUUUUUAAACAAGGGUUUUUUCUGAAAACCAUUAGUUGGUAGAAUUGUCAUUACAAAUGUACUUUGUAUAAUUUUGUCAGCUUGCCUUAAUAACCAUGAUUUGUAACAUAACUAUAUUGGACUCCUUCAGUAAAAUUGAAACAAAUCUAUUUAUAUACAUGUAGUAGUUGUGGCCAAAAUUGAACCUUCUUUUAUUAGAAUUUUGCUAAAGAUAACAUGGUAUUGUACAUUUUUUUUAGGGUCAGAAUGUUCCUCACAUAUAUUUUGUUAGAUCAUUUCUUUAUGUCUUGAUGUCAAAAUGCAAUCCACUUUAGAAUUUACAAACAUGUAAAAAAAUAGUGUUAUAAAUAAUUGUAACUCUUUUUCACAUUCAAAGGGAAGUAACCAUUAGUAUCCCUUAGAGCUGUUUCUUAUCUUUGCAGUUAUACACAGUCAUCAUUCAAGUAAUUGACAAAACUAUUUUUUACACUUUUUGAAAUUUAGUUACAAAAAUAACACAUCAGAGUCUGACCAAUGUUCCAGUUGGAGGAUAUUUUAGAAUA
rnacentral:lncRNA from 1 species